CCUACGGGUGGCAGCAGUGAGGAAUAUUGGUCAAUGGGCGGAAGCCUGAACCAGCCAAGUCGCGUGAGGGAUUAAGGCCCUGCGGGUCGUAAACCUCUUUUGCCGGGGAGCAGUGCUCCGUACGCGUCCGCCCCCGGAGAGUACCCGGAGAAAAAGCAUCGGCUAACUCCGUGCCAGCAGCCGCGGUAAUACGGAGGAUGCGAGCGUUAUCCGGAUUUAUUGGGUUUAAAGGGUGCGUAGGUGGUUAAUUAAGUCAGCGGUGAAAGUUUGUGGCUCAACCAGAAAAUUGCCGUUGAAACUGGGUGACUUGAGGAGAGUGGAGGUAGGCGGAAUGGGUGGUGUAGCGGUGAAAUGCAUAGAUAUCACGCAGAACUCCGAUUGCGAAGGCAGCUUACCGGGGCGAAACUGACGCUCAUGCACGAAAGCGUGGGUAUCGAACAGGAUUAGAUACCCCUGUGUC
rnacentral:rRNA from 1 species